GUCUGUCAAUUCAAUCCUAAUAUGUGGAGAUUAGUUAUCUCCAUGCAAAUUUUGUGGAGGGAAGUUUUUGGUGGGGACCGUCCUCUUACUGUGGACGAGUUUUUUUAUUGUUAUAAACCUUCUGCAAUAAGUCAAUAUGAGGGUUUUUAUCAGUUCACUGCUACGGGGAAUGAUUGUAGGUUAAUCAAGUCCCUAGCUUCGUCUAACAGGAAGUGGAAGACGGAAUUCAUCUUUGUCUCAGGCUUCUGGGCAAGGAACCCUGUGGACAUUGGUAGGGACCCCUUUCCUCCUUACACUGGGGACCUAGGGAACAUUUGUCCAGAAGGUACGUUCCUUCCCCUUGUUUAUUUUUAUCCUUUUUUCUAUUUGGUACGUUUACAAUUUCUAACCUUUAUUUAUUCAUUGUGUUGUAACUGCCAAACGUCCGUCUUUGAGCAAAUUUCACCGUGACCGCGCCCACAGGGCUCGUCUUCAUACAGAGGAGCUUUCGUUCUCUUGUCACUCUUAGAUGUCUAGCCAAGUGGGGUUUAGGUCUUGAGCCGUCAGACGAAGCUAUUGCACACGAGGUUACUAUGCGUAAAAGAAUGUCAAAAAUGAAAGAGAACAAAGGGAAAGAAGUUGUAGGUGAGGGGAAACGUCCUGAGGCUCAGACCCAGGAUCGUCCUAAGGUUCAGGUACGUCCAACGGCUGGGGACAAAAGGAAGUUCUUGCCAAAGAACAUUGAUUUGGAAGGGCUCCCUAGUCGUCGAGACAAAAGAGUGAAGCAGGGCUCGUCCAAGGUGAUUAAGUCCAAACCUCCACAGUCUUAGCCUUCCAUCCAGGUAGUUGAUGUGGACUCGUCCACUCCAGUUGAGUCCACUCCGUCCAAGACUCCUCCGCCCAGAACUCCUUUGUCCAAGCCAACUGCGCCUGGCUCGUCCCAGCCUUCUACGAACAUUAUUAAAAAUGAGGAACUGGCUUGGGAACGUUUUCAGUUGGCUGUCCUGGACGAGGACAUAAACAUGUGUUAUAACAUGGGCUUGAAGGAGUUUGAGCAUUCUGGCAUCCAUGACCUCUUUAAGGCCAUGUCAAAGUUUAUAGCAGCGUCCAGACAGGCAACAGAACUGGAUAAGACGAGGGUCUUGUUGGAGACGAGGAUUUAACAGGUGAACGCUGACUGCAAAAAAUGGGCUGGGGCUGCUGCAAAAGCUAAGGAGGAGGUCAAUGAGCAUAACAAGCUAAUCGAGGAGCUAAGGACUGAUGCAUUGGAGAAGGAUACCCGUAUUGAUCAUUUGCAAAAGAUGAACGACGAGCUGAAUGCUCGUCUCUCCAAGGCAAGAGAGGACGUUGUGGCUGAAUUCAAAUCGUCCAAAGUGUACACAGACACUCUGGAUCGCAAUUAUGCAGCUGGUUUUGAGGAUUUUAGAAUGGACACUAUUGAGAACUUCCCUGAAGUUGACUUUAGCUCAAUCAAACUUGACCUUGCUGCUGCCACAAGCUCUCUUCUUCAGACCGGCUUUGAUGACGUCAAUGUGGAAGAUGACGCCAGCACUCAGCCACCUCAGGAUGAGCCCAAUGUCAAUGCUCCCCCAACUUAAGGACGAGACCUUUACACUUAGAGCAGUCUUUGAUUUUCUUUUUUUGUUUGGUUUUUGUUCGGUCCUCUAUUUUAGGACCUUCUUUAUGUAACAAGAAUACACUAGCCUCGUCCAUGGUUUUAGGACGGGGCUUUUAGACAACCAUCUCAGUUUUUUGAACUAAUCAAGGGUU